rnacentral:piRNA from 1 species
UGGCAGUUGGAAGAAUCAGAAUUUUGAAGGG